AGCAACAAUGGCACAGAAACGAAUUGGCGAGAUAGAGAGAGAGAGACAACGGCUUACCUGGAGCUUGCUGAGACCUGGUGAGCUUCUUG
rnacentral:miRNA from 1 species